UCGAGAAUCUUCCGCAAUGGGCGAAAGCCUGACGGAGCGAUGCCGCGUGAGGGAUGAAGGCCUUCGGGUUGUAAACCUCUGUCAGAGGGGACGAAGAAUGUGACGGUACCCUCAGAGGAAGCCACGGCUAACUACGUGCCAGCAGCCGCGGUAAUACGUAGGUGGCAAGCGUUAUUCGGAUUCACUGGGCGUAAAGGGUCCGUAGGGGGUCUGCCAAGUCUGAUGUGAAAUCCCGUGGCUCAACUGCGGAACUGCAUUGGAUACUGGCGGGCUGGAGUCUGCGAGGGGUGAGCGGAAUUCCUGGUGUAGCGGUGGAAUGCGUAGAUAUCAGGAAGAACACCGAUGGCGAAGGCGGCUCACUGGCGCAGUACUGACCCUGAGGGACGAAAGCGUGGGGAGCAAACA
rnacentral:rRNA from 1 species